rnacentral:sRNA from 1 species
AUUUAGCCCCGAUAGAAGUGGAAAUCCUUUUGUACUGCCCGAGGAUUCGGGACCAGUACAAAAGAUUGUAACGGAUAGCGGGACUUCAG